rnacentral:tRNA from 1 species
AAAAUUAAAGUUUUAAUAAAACAUUAUAUUUUCAAUAUAAAAUAAGUUAAUUUUAAAAUUUAAAAAACUUUAUUUUUUC